rnacentral:rRNA from 1 species
GCGGAUGGAGCUGAAGCCAGUCGAAGAUACCAGCUGGCUGCAACUGUUUAAUAAAAACACAGCACUGUGCAAACACGAAAGUGGACGUAUACGGUGUGACGCCUGCCCGGUGCUGGAAGGUUAAUUGAUGGGGUCAGCCGCAAGGCGAAGCUCUUGAUCGAAGCCCCAGUAAACGGCGGCCGUAACUAUAACGGUCCUAAGGUAGCGAAAUUCCUUGUCGGGUAAGUUCCGACCUGCACGAAUGGCGUAAUGAUGGCCAGGCUGUCUCCACCCGAGACUCAGUGAAAUUGAACUCGCUGUGAAGAUGCAGUGUACCCGCGGCAAGACGGAAAGACCCCGUGAACCUUUACUAUAGCUUGACACUGAACAUUGAGCCUUGAUGUGUAGGAUAGGUGGGAGGCUUUGAAGCGUGGACGCCAGUCUGCGUGGAGCCAUCCUUGAAAUACCACCCUUUAAUGUUUGAUGUUCUAACUCGGCCCCGUAAUCCGGGGUGAGGACAGUGUCUGGUGGGUAGUUUGACUGGGGCGGUCUCCUCCCAAAGAGUAACGGAGGAGCACGAAGGUUAGCUAAUCACGGUCGGACAUCGUGAGGUUAGUGCAAAGGCAUAAGCUAGC